rnacentral:tRNA from 1 species
GACUAUUUAGUUUAAAAAAAACAAAUGUUUUGAAAACAUUAAAUAAGAGUAAAUUCUUAAUAGUCG